GCCACCACUCCUGGCUAAGCUAAGGUUUAAAGCACUGUCUGAGAACUUUAUCUAGAACUAUGGAGGAGGGAGAGACAUACCACAGCACAACACAUUCUGCAGCAUUAGGAAGCUCCAGCUCAGAAUUGAUGCUGUGUGACUUCUGACAUUUCAUUCUCCAGUGCAAAUCGGACAGUUAGACGUGAUUUCAACACGAGCAGAUCCCCAUCGGAGUUGGUAAGAAGGAUUGCACUCUGCCAUGGAAGCUGAAUGGACGAAUAUUCCCCCCUCCUUUUGUAAAAAUAUUCCUUAUUUUGCUGUCAAGAAUCUCAGUAGAGAAAAUGAG
rnacentral:lncRNA from 1 species